rnacentral:rRNA from 1 species
CCUACGGGUGGCAGCAGUGGGGAAUAUUGGGCAAUGGGCGCAAGCCUGACCCAGCAACGCCGCGUGAAGGAAGAAGGCUUUCGGGUUGUAAACUUCUUUUGUCAGGGACGAAGCAAGUGACGGUCCCUGACGAAUACGCCACCUCUAACUCCGUGCCCGCAGCCGCGGUAAUACGUAGGUGGCAAGCGUUAUCCGGAUUUACUGGGUGUAAAGGGCGUGUAGGGGGGUCUGCAAGUCUGAAGUGAAAGCCACGGGCUCAACCGGGGAACUGCAUUUGAAACUGUAGUGCUGGAGUACUGGAGAGGCAGACGGAAUUCCUAGUGUAGCGGUGAAAUGCGUAGAUAUUAGGAGGAACACCAGUGGCGAAGGCGGUCUGCUGGACAGCAACUGACGCUGAGGCGCGAAAGCGUGGGGAGCAAACAGGAUUAGAUACCCUGGUAGUC